rnacentral:rRNA from 1 species
AACGAACGCUGGCGGCAUGCCUAACACAUGCAAGUCGAACGAGACCUUCGGGUCUAGUGGCGCUCGGGUGCGUAACGCGUGGGAAUCUGGUCUUCGGUUGGGAAUAAGUGAGAGAAAUUUCAGCUAAUACCUUAUAAUGUCUUUGGACCAAAGAUUUAUCGCCGAGGGAUGAGCCCGCGUAGGAUUAGGUAGUUGGUGGAGUAAUGGUCUACCAAGCGGACGAGCCUUAGCUGGUCUGAGAGGAUGAUCAGCCACACUGGGACUGAGACACGGCCCAGACUCCUACGGAUGGCAGCAGUGGGGAAUAUUGGACGAUGGGCGAGAGACUGAUGCAUCAGUGCCGCGUGAGUGAUGAAGGCCUGAGGAUUGUAAUGCUCGUUUACACUGGAUGAUAAUGACAGUACCGGAAGAAUAAGCUCCGGCUAACUCCGUG